UAGGACCGUUCUAUUAGGAGGUAGGACUGUUCCGUUAGGAGGUAGGACACUUCGGUUAGAAGGUAGGACCGGUCCGUUAGGAGGUAGGACUGUUCGGUUAGGAGGUAGAACCGUUCCGUUAGGAGGUAGGACACUUCCGUUAGAAGGUAGGACCGUUCCAUUAGGAGGUAGGACUGUUCCGUUAGGAGGUAGGACACUUCCGUUAGAAGGUAGGACUGUUCCGUUAGGAGGUAGGACCGUUCCGUUAGGAGGUAGGACACUUCCGUUAGGAGGUAGGACACUUCCGUUAGGAGGUAGGACUGUUCCGUUAGGAGGUAGGACCGUUCCGUAGGAGGUAGGACACUUCCGUUAGAAGGUAGGACCGUUCUGUUAGGAGGUAGGACUGUUCCGUUAGAAGGUAGGACACUUCGGUUUUAGGAGGUAGGACUGUUCCAUUAGGAGGUAAGACUGUUCCGUUAGGAGGUAGGACUGUUCCGUUAGGAGGUAGGACACUUCGGUUAGGAGGUAGAACUGUUCCGUUAGGAGGUAGGACACUUCGGUUAGGAGGUAGGACUGUUCCGUUAGGAGGUGGGACUGUUCCGUUAGGAGGUAGGACACAUCCGUUAGGAGGUAGGACCGUUCCGUUAGGAGGUAGGACCGUUCCGUUAGGAGGUAGGACACUUCGGUUAGGAGGUAGGACACUUCGGUUAGGAGGUAGGACUGUUCCGUUAGGAGGUGGGACUGUUCCGUUAGGAGGUAGGACACAUCCGUUAGGAGGUAGGACACAUCCGUUAGGAGGUAGGACCGUUCCGUUAGGAGGUAGGACACUUCGGUUAGGAGGUAGGACCGUUCCGUUAGGAGGUAGGACACUUCGGUUAGGAGGUACGACCGUUCCG
ensembl:lncRNA